GACGAAUGCUGGCUGCGUGCUUAACACAUGCAAGUCGAACGGUGAAAGGGAGCUUGCUCCCUGGAUCAGUGGCGAACGGGUGAGUAACACGUGGGCAACCUGCCCCUCACCCUGGGAUAACUCCGGGAAACCGGGGCUAAUACCGGAUACGACCUGGUGCCACAUCGCACCGGGUGGAAAGAACUUCGGUGAGGGAUGGGCCCGCGGCCUAUCAGCUUGUUGGUGGGGUAACGGCCCACCAAGGCGACGACGGGUAGCCGGCCUGAGAGGGCGACCGGCCACACUGGGACUGAGACACGGCCCAGACUCCUACGGGAGGCAGCAGUGGGGAAUAUUGCACAAUGGGCGCAAGCCUGAUGCAGCAACGCCGCGUGAGGGACGACGGCCUUCGGGUUGUAAACCUCUUUUAGCAGGGAAGAAGCGAAAGUGACGGUACCUGCAGAAAAAGCACCGGCUAACUACGUGCCAGCAGCCGCAGUAAGAC
rnacentral:rRNA from 1 species